UGUUCGACCCGCGGCGCUCCAGCUCGUACGGCGCCGUCGACUGCGCCGCGCCGCUGUGCCGCAGGCUGGACUCGGGCGGCUGCGAUCUCCGCCGCAGGGCGUGCCUGUACCAGGUGGCCUACGGCGACGGCUCCGUGACGGCGGGCGACUUCGCCACCGAGACGCUCACCUUCGCGGGCGGCGCACGCGUGGCGCGCGUCGCGCUCGGGUGCGGCCACGACAACGAAGGCCUGUUCGUGGCCGCGGCCGGGCUGCUGGGCCUGGGACGCGGCAGCCUGUCGUUCCCGACCCAGAUC
rnacentral:lncRNA from 1 species